AAGUCGUAACAAGGUUUCCGUAGGUGAACCUGCGGAAGGAUCAUUAAUACGUACUUUCACGUAUCACUCAUAAUCGUGGACUUGUCCCGCUUUUUGUGGAGAGUUGAAGGCGAAAUUUGUGGUCAUUUUUUACCAGCGUGGGGAAAGAGUUAAUUCUCUUUCUAGACCUGUUCGCCGAGGGUUAAUAAAUCGAAGGCUUGAUUGGAAUUGACAAGUGCAGCUUGUUCUGCAUGCAUCGUUCUGAUCAAAAAAGCCAUCGAUUCGACUCUUUACAAAGCGUUUUUCUUAAUCCAUGCUGGGAUUUCAAUUAUUUUACCCCAAGUACUAUUAUCAAGAACUAAUUGUGUUUUUUCCUUCAUUGUGAAAAAACGCCAAAUACCGAAACUUAAGAACAACUCUUAACAACGGAUAUCUUGGUUCUC
rnacentral:misc_RNA from 1 species